rnacentral:lncRNA from 1 species
AAAUUGUUUAAAGUCAUGAUGGUUUCGGGCCCGUAUUUUGGUUCCGGCGUCCGGUACAGGUCUUAUAUGAUUUAAGACAUUUUUGUGGAAUUUGGUGAAAAACGGAUGUCAUAUGACGUGAUUUGGACUUAAAUUGCAAAGUUGAUGUUUAAAGAAGUUUUGAGAAGAUUUCAUUGAUCUUGAGAUUUAAUUUAAUGUUCAUGAUGUUAUUUUGAUGAUCUGAUUACACGAAUAAGUCCGUAGGAUGUUCUUGAGGUUUUGUGUGCAUUUGGUUUGGAGUUCCGAUGGCUCGGGUGGGUUUCGGGUAGGUUUCGGGAUGUUUUAGGCUUAAAACUAGAAUUGUAGGUCUCUGAACCCACUAGUGCGGUGCUCGGUCGACCUUGUGCGGAGCGCGGUGAUGGCUGUGCGGAGCGCGGUGAAGGCUGUGCGGUCCGCACAGGGCGCUGUUGUGCGGCCGCACUCGACUUUGUUUGGUCCGUACAGGGGGUCUGAGGGGGGGGGGGGGUAUAAAUAGACGGGAUUUUCAGUCAUUUUUCAUUUUGCAAAACCCCAAAAACAUAAGAGGCGAUUUUUCAAACAACUUUUCUUCUCCAAAUUAAUUGUAAGUCAUUUUUAACUAGUUUUCUUCAAUCAUUAACAUCUUUUAACAUGAUUUCAACUUCAAAUCAAUGAUUUUCAGGGGGAAAAUUGGGUGUUUUGGAUAGAACCUAGGUUUUUCAAAAAAUUGGGGAUUUGGACCUCGAUUUGAGGUCCGAUUUCAAAACAAAUUAUAUAUUUGAGUUUGUGGGGGAAUGAGUAAUCGGGUUUAGGUUCAAACCUCGGGUUUUGACCACGUGGGCCCGGGGGUUAUUUUGACUUUUUGAGUAAAAUUUUGGAGAACUCAUUUUUCAUGCAUUCAAAUUUAUUCAUUUAGCAUUUAUUGAUGUAAUUAAAUAACUUAUGGCUAGAUACGAGCGAAUUGGCGGAGGAAUCAAGGGGUAAAGCUAUAAUUGAAGCUUGAGUUGUGUUCGAGGAAUUGAGGUAAGUGUUUGGUCUAACUUUAGCUUGAGGGAUUAGGAGUUGUGUCCUAUUUGCUAUUUGUUCCUUGUUGAGUACGGCGUAUAGGCAUGGUGACGAGUAUCUAUGUGUCGGUGUCAAGCAUGACCGUGAGUCUUAUAUUGUGAUUUUCAUGAUCUCGUUGUAUUAUUUAUGCUUUGGUAAAGAUUUCUAUUUGUAGUGUAGAGUUGUGGAAAGAAUUGUAACCUAUGAACAUUGAGGAGCGUUGGCUCCAGUUGUAUAACAAAUUGUGAAAGUAUAAGUGAUAAUCGAAAUUUUAGGGCAUUGACUCGAGUUGUGAAGUGAAUUGUGAAGUAAAAGUGAGAAAGAGAAGAAAUCAUUAUGUUGCCCAUUGCCGGGCUAUUGUUGAGUUGAGGUUCCCUUACAUUGUGUUCUUAAUUGAUAUUACGGACGCUCAGGUUGAUGAUUCUUCGUGUUAGGUGUUGUAACAAGUUUGAUUAUAGCUGGGUAGUUAGGUGUUGUAACAAUUGUAGUUAUAGCUGAGGUAGAUAGAUGUUGAAACUAGUUGAGUUAUAGUUUAGAUAAUUAGGCGUUGGAACAAGUUUGGUUAUGGCUGUUUCUCCCUUGUCGGGACGUAUAUACUUGUAUGUAUUGUGGAGUUCCCUUGCCGGGAUAAUGUAGUCUAUUGUUGAUCCAUUGCUGGGACGGUUAAUUAUGAUUAUUGUUGACUGUAUAUUUAGAACGGGUUGCACGCCUCAACAGAUAUUAUAUUGGAUCGGGUUGCACGCCGCAACAGUUAUAUAUGUGGAUCGGGUUGCUCGCCGCAAUAGAUAUUAUAUUGGAGCGGGUUGCACGCCGUAAUAGAUAUUAUAUUGGAUCGGGUUACACGCCGCAACAGUUAUAUAUGUGGAUCGGGUUUCACGCCGCAACAAUGUUAAAUGAUAAGGGAUCGGGUUGCGCGCAGCAACAGUAUUGUUAUUGUAUUGAUUGUAGACAUCGAGUGUUCUUUCGUACUUUAUUAAGUUUCUGAUAGAAUUGAUAUGUUUCACCGAAGCAUGUCCCCCCCCCCACCCUCCCUUUAAAACUGUUAUUACCGAUUUAUAUUUUUAAUAUAUAUUAUAUAACUGCACAGGUUUAUCUGAAGUCUGGUCCUAGCCUCGUCACUACCUCGUCGGGGUUAGGCCAGACACUUACUAACACAUGAGGUCGGUUGUGCUGAUACUACACUCUGCACUCUGUGCAGCUACCGGAGUGGCACUUGAUCAGUAGCAGUAGGGAAGCCAACCUUCAGUCCACCGAGACAUCGAGGUAGCCUUGCAAGCGUCCGCAGGCCCGGCGUCUCCUCUAUCUUUUAUUAUGUUCUGUUAUCUCAUGUAUCCAAGACAAACAGUGUUAUUUUUCCUUCCAAUUGUUGUAUGUAGUACUCCUAGUAGUCCGUGGAUAUUGUGACACCAGUUUCUGGGUAGAGGCAUGUGUUGACUUUCGAAACAUUUUGGUUUUAUUUUUUAUUUAAGACUUCCGUUUAAAUCUCA